AUUGAACGCUGGCGGCAUGCCUUACACAUGCAAGUCGAACGGCAGCACGGGGGCAACCCUGGUGGCGAGUGGCGAACGGGUGAGUAAUGCAUCGGAGCGUGCCCAGUAGUGGGGUAUAACCCGGCGAAAGCCGGGCUAAUACCGCAUACGACCUACGGGUGAAAGCGGGGGACCGUAAGGCCUCGCGCUAUUGGAGCGGCCGAUGUCUGAUUAGCUAGUUGGCGGGGUAAAGGCCCACCAAGGCGACGAUCAGUAGCUGGUCUGAGAGGACGACCAGCCACACUGGGACUGAGACACGGCCCAGACUCCUACGGGAGGCAGCAGUGGGGAAUUUUGGACAAUGGGCGCAAGCCUGAUCCAGCCAUGCCGCGUGCGGGAAGAAGGCCUUCGGGUUGUAAACCGCUUUUGGCAGGAACGAAACGGCGCAAGCUAAUACCUUGCGCUAAUGACGGUACCUGCAGAAUAAGCACCGGCUAACUACGUGCCAGCAGCCGCAGUAAUAC
rnacentral:rRNA from 1 species